GCCAGCAUGGUGUAGUGGUUUGAAUGUUGGACUAUGACUCUGGAGACCAGGGUUCAACUCCUGGCUCGGCCA